CCUACGAGGGGCAGCAGUGGGGAAUCUUGCGCAAUGGGCGGAAGCCUGACGCAGCGACGCCGCGUGCGGGACGAAGGCCUUCGGGUCGUACACCGCUUUCAGCAGGGACGAGGCCCUCACGGUGACGGUACCUGCAGAAGAAGCCCCGGCUAACUCCGUGCCAGCAGCCGCGGUAAUACGUAGGGGGCGAGCUUUAUCCGGAUUUCUGGGGCGUAAAGGGCGCGUAGGCGGCCUGUUAGGUCGGGGGUCAAAUACCGGGGCUCAACCCCGGUCCGCCCCCGAUACCGGCAGGCGUGAGUCUGGGAGGGGAAGGCGGAAUUCCCAGUGUAGCGGUGGAAGGCGCAGAUAUUGGGAAGAACACCGGCGGCGAAGGCGGCCUUCUGGGCCACGACUGACGCUGAGGCGCGAAAGCUAGGGGAGCGAACAGGAUUAGAUACCCGUGUAGUC
rnacentral:rRNA from 1 species